GACGAACGCUGGCGGCGUGCUUAACACAUGCAAGUCGAACGGAAAGGCCCUGCUUUUGUGGGGUGCUCGAGUGGCGAACGGGUGAGUAACACGUGAGUAACCUGCCCUUGACUUUGGGAUAACUUCAGGAAACUGGGGCUAAAACCGGAUAGGAGCUCCUGCUGCAUGGUGGGGGUUGGAAAGUUUCGGCGGUUGGGGCUGGACUCGCGGCUUAUCAGCUUGUUGGUGGGGUAGGGGCUUACCAAGGCUUUGACGGGUAGCCGGCCUGAGAGGGUGACCGGCCACAUUGGGACUGCGAUACGGCCCAGACUCCUACGGGAGGCAGCAGUGGGGAAUAUUGCACAAUGGGCCGACGCCUGAUGCAGCAACGCCGCGUGCGGGAUGACGGCCUUCGGGUUGUAAACCGCUUUCGCCUUUGACGAAGCGUGAGUGACGGUAAUGGGUAAGGAAGCACCGGCUAACUACGUG
rnacentral:rRNA from 1 species